CCUACGGGUGGCAGCAGUGAGGAAUAUUGGUCAAUGGACGAGAGUCUGAACCAGCCAAGUAGCGUGAAGGAUGACUGCCCUAUGGGUUGUAAACUUCUUUUAUAUGGGAAUAAAAUGUUCCACGUGUGGGAUUUUGUAUGUACCAUAUGAAUAAGGAUCGGCUAACUCCGUGCCAGCAGCCGCGGUAAUACGGAGGAUCCGAGCGUUAUCCGGAUUUAUUGGGUUUAAAGGGAGCGUAGGUGGAUUGUUAAGUCAGUUGUGAAAGUUUGCGGCUCAACCGUAAAAUUGCAGUUGAAACUGGCAGUCUUGAGUACAGUAGAGGUGGGCGGAAUUCGUGGUGUAGCGGUGAAAUGCUUAGACAUCACGAAGAACUCCGAUUGCGAAGGCAGUUCACUGGACUGCAACUGACACUGAGGCUCGAAAGUGUGGGUAUCAAACAGGAUUAGAUACCCUUGUAGUC
rnacentral:rRNA from 1 species